GAUGAACGCUAGCGGGAGGCUUAACACAUGCAAGUCGAGGGGCAGCAUAGGGUAGCAAUACUCUGAUGGCGACCGGCGCACGGGUGAGUAACACGUAUGUAACCUACCCUUUACAGGGGGAUAACCCGGAGAAAUUCGGACUAAUACCCCAUAAUAUUAUUUUGGGGCAUCCUGGAAUAAUUAAAGUUUCGGCGGUGAAGGAUGGGCAUGCGGAACAUUAGCUAGUUGGCAGGGUAACGGCCUACCAAGGCUACGAUGUUUAGGGGGCCUGAGAGGUUGAUCCCCCACACUGGUACUGAGACACGGACCAGACUCCUACGGGAGGCAGCAGUGAGGAAUAUUGGUCAAUGGGCGGAAGCCUGAACCAGCCAAGUCGCGUGAAGGAAGACGGCCCUAUGGGUUGUAAACUUCUUUUGUAUGAGGGUAAAAUGGUCUACGUGUAGAUUAUUGCAAGUAUCAUACGAAUAAGGAUCGGCUAACUCCGUGCCAGCAGCCGCGGUAAAAC
rnacentral:rRNA from 1 species